rnacentral:rRNA from 1 species
AUUGAACGCUGGCGGCAUGCCUUACACAUGCAAGUCGAACGGCAGCGGACCUUCGGGUGCCGGCGAGUGGCGAACGGGUGAGUAAUGCAUCGGAACGUGCCCAAUCGUGGGGGAUAACGUAGCGAAAGUUACGCUAAUACCGCAUAAGCCCUGAGGGGGAAAGCAGGGGAUCGCAAGACCUUGCGCGAAUGGAGCGGCCGAUGUCAGAUUAGCUAGUUGGUGGGGUAAAGGCCUACCAAGGCGACGAUCUGUAGCGGGUCUGAGAGGAUGAUCCGCCACACUGGGACUGAGACACGGCCCAGACUCCUACGGGAGGCAGCAGUGGGGAAUUUUGGACAAUGGGGGAAACCCUGAUCCAGCAAUGCCGCGUGUGUGACGAAGGCCUCGG